rnacentral:rRNA from 1 species
UAGGGAAUAUUGGGCAAUGGGCGAGAGCCUGACCCAGCCAUGCCGCGUGCAGGAUGAAGGCUUUCUGAGUCGUAAACUGCUUUUGACAGGGAAGAAUAAGCUGAACGUGUUCAGUGAUGACGGUACCUGCAGAAUAAGCACCGGCUAACUCCGUGCCAGCAGCCGCGGUAAUACGGAGGGUGCGAGCGUUGUCCGGAUUUAUUGGGUUUAAAGGGUGCGUAGGCGGCUUUGUAAGUCCGGGGUGAAAGCCCGUUGCUCAACAACGGAACUGCCCUGGAUACUGCGGAGCUUGAGUACAGACGAGGUUGGCGGAAUGGACCGAGUAGCGGUGAAAUGCAUAGAUACGGUCCAGAACCCCGAUUGCGAAGGCAGCUGACUAGGCUGUUACUGACGCUGAGGCACGACAGCGUGGGGAGCGAACAG